rnacentral:misc_RNA from 1 species
AUCGCGUCGCCACCCCCGCCAUAUUCAUGUCGAGGGGUGACGGAAAUUGGCCUCCCGUGUCGCAUGGUGCGGUUGGCCUAAAUGCGAUUCCUCGGCUGGGGAUGUCACGACAAGUGGUGGUUGAAUUUCUCAACUCGCGUGUUGUCGCUACAGUCGUGGAACUAUUUUGACCCUCGAGCCUGAGUUAUCUCGGGCCUUCGAAC